AUUCUUCUGUUUGUGGGGUGGCAUUGCAGCUGCUACCUAUGGAAGGACUCAAAGGCUUUGCUGGAUCUGCCCGCCUCUCCACCGCUCCAAAAUCAACUUUGCUCACCCCCUUGCUCACUAUGCUCAGUCACACUGAACUUCCUACAGUUCCCCAAACAGCUGAGCUCUUUCCUGCCUCAGGACCUUGGCUGGUGCUGUUCCUUCUGCCUAGGACACUGUUAUACCUCUUGCAUGGAUGGAUCCUUCUCAUCCUUCAGGCUUCACCUUAAGGAGAGCCCCCUUUAAAGGGCCUUCCUCAAACCACCCUAUCCAACAUAGAUCCUCCCUCUUGGCCUCUAUUUCACCACCUAUAUCUUUCUCCCAGAGACUGCAUGAAAGAUAUGUGAUUUUUUCAAUUUACUUGUGAAGCAGCAGCAAAUUUCACAGGCUGCAUACUCAUUUAUGCAUAAAAUAUAAUCAAUUAUUUUUUGUAUUUAUUAAUUUCUUUGUCACAGGGGCAUAAUCUAGUCUUCUUGGGAUAAACUCAGCCAGAUUAAUGACUACGGAAUCAUUUCAGGUUAUCCAUUCAGUCAAAUUCAGCGUUCUGCCUUUGGGUCUCUUUCUCAAAAUAAUGAUUUUGCUAAGGUGUAGGAUCCCCUUAGCCUUUGAUCAUUGGCAUUCAUCCCCCUAGCUUCCUCCUAAAUGACCCAGGUCUUAUUGUGGCCUUCCCUGCCUUCUGCAUCAUCCUUUUCCCCAAACUAACUGGGUUCUCCAGCCUCUCUCAACUCUCCUGGGUUCUGCCUAUGAGCUGGGGGCGGAGUUGCAGUGGGUCUUGGCUACUCUUUCUGUCCCAUGCCAUGAGGCUGCUCUGGGCCCACUGUGGAUGCCUCACUCAGCCAUGCCUCUUUACCCUCACACACAGGCUUCUCUGGGAAGUUACCUGUGGAGGGAUGAAAGUCUUCUAUGCUCUGAAGUUAAGCAGUUUUCCAUGGAGCUUCUAUGAUCUUCUGAGCCUAGAGCCUGACUGGGGAUGGAAGGAGCUAUCCCUGCAUCUCCCUCUCCUGAUGCUCUCUUCUUUCCCAAGCUAUAGAGCUUUAUCUGGGGUCGGGGUGGUCAGUGGGAAGGAAUACUCUUCUUGGGCCAUGGUGCAGAGUUGAUGGUGCAGAGCUGACGCUGCAGAGUUGAUGGUGCAAAGUUGAUGGUACAGAGUUGAUGAUGCAGAGUUGAUGGUACAGAGCAGAGGGUACAGAGUUGAUGGUACAGAGCAGAGGGUACAGAGUUGAUGGUACAGAGCUGACGAUGCAGAGCUGACAGUAUAGAGUUGAUGGUGCAGAGGCGACAGUACAGAGCUGAUGGUGCAGAGUUGACGGUGCAGAGUUGAUGGUGCAGAGCUGAUGGUGCAGAACUGAUGGUGCAGAGGUAGCUCCAGGAGGGCAUAUAUAGCCCAUAGCACAGUGCCUGGUACAUGGCAAGGCUUCAGUAAAUAGUCGAUGAGUGAAAGAACAAAUGAACAAAUGACUAUAUCAGUACGAGUUUUCUAUCUUGGAUGAUACUUCUGCCCAGAAUAACCUUGGAGAAAGUGCCAAAGAACUUAGUUUGGUGAGAGUUUCAAAUGUCCUCUGCAAUGUAGUUGUCCCCCUCCUCCUGAGUGAGAGCGUUGCUCUCUGCAAGCCAAGACUGAAUCAGUGUACAAGAAUAUAAACUCAUGAAGUACUGCAUUGGUAACAUGAUCCAAUCAUCUUUGAAUUUUAGGGGAAGGUAAAAAAUAACCAAUAAUUAUUGGUAAUAAGCCUUAAAAAAGUGGCUUUUUGUUCAUGUCCGUGCUAUAGACUUAGAACUCCAAAGACAGUUGAUGAAGAGCUAAUUCCCAGCUUCACCCAAGUCACCGCAAUGCCCUGGAGAAAGCAUGAUGAGUGACUUUCCAGAAGGGCCCUUCACUGGGCAGAGGAGCCCUCUAGGAGCAGCGAGCAUCACUGGGGGCUUCUUGUCUCUGACAAGUGAACAUUUGCACUGACUCUGACAUAGGCUUUGCUUUUCUCUCUUAAGGUGAAGUGAGUGAGUUGAGGGAGGAGAAAAGAGGGGUAUGUUUGGAAAAGAGAGGACCACUUAGAAGUUAAAAAUAAUGGAAGCUAUAAAUUGAGCAAUGAUGUCUUUAAAAGAUUGUGUUUGAUAGGAUCUUAUGAUAAUAAUACAGUGCUCAAAUCACACAUAACUGAUGUGAACAAAUUUGGGGUGUGGGUACAUUAAUAAAUAGAGAAUAUUCAUACCUAUGAGCUUUAAAAAAGACUCUUGAAAGCUGGGAACUAAAAUAUUUCCUUAUUAUACAGUUCCUAUAGAAAAAUAUAUUUUGCAUUCCAAACUGACUUCAAUUGGACUUUUGUAGAAGUUGGGGUGUUGCAAUGGGGGUGGGUUACAUGGUGCAAACCACAGUCUCUAGACUGGGCCUCUUGUCACCAACACACACGUUUAGAAGCCUAUAGGCUCAGCUCAGGGAAGCAGCCGUUGACUGAGGGACAAAGCAUUGCUAACAGGUAAUACCCCAGAAUGUGAAUUCACAACAAAGAGCAGAAAAUGAUAAACUCCAGCUUCCUGUUUUAAAGUCAAUUGCAACUUCAGUUAAAAUGUAGCAUUAACCAUUCAUUCAUUCAAAAUACAUAGAUAUCUCCAUUCUCUCUCUUUAUAAGCCUCUUGAAAAUAACACCGAAGCGAUUAAAAAAAAUUAUAUUGACUUAUAAGGACAGAAAGGACAGGAAAAUAAAUAACAGCAGACAAGAGAUAUAAGCAGAACUGUGGAAGAUGGAAAGCAGGGGUGGGAUGGGGCAUAUGUAAUUAAUUUAGCAGGAAGAAGGAUCCCAAGGGAGGUGCCUACUGGGGAGGGAUGGGGGUCUCUCUACAGACCCCUGUGAGACUCAGUAUCUGAGGGCACAGUAACUGCAGAGGUGAGGGUGAGGGGUGAGGCUGAAACACAGGAGGCUGCUUAUAAAUCUGAAUCAAGAGGUGACCCUUUAAGUAGCUUAUCCUACCCCCUACAGCCAGGAGGCUACCCUCCCACCCUAAGAAGCUUCUUUUAAAGGAAAUUGAAGCUGGAGAGGCUUGGGACAUGAAGAUUCCAGGCAGGGUGUGGACCUGGAUAAAAACAAGGGGCUUAAACGAGUCUCUGCACACUCUGAACUUGGGGACCCUCAGCGUGCUUCCCGUCCUGCUCACAGACAGCCCCCAUCGGGCAUGAUUCCAUCAGUCCCCCUCAGUGGGAAGUUACAGAAAAGAAUAUGACUCAGCCAUUAAAAGGAACGAAAUACCUGCAUUUUUGGCAACAUGGAUGACCUAGAAAUUAUCAUGCUAAGUGAAGUCAGUCAGACAAUGAGACACCAAGAUCAAAUGCUUUCACUGACAUGUGGAAUCUGAAAAAAGGACAGAAUGAACUUCUUUGCAGAAAAGAUACUAACUCACAGACUUUGAAAAACAUAUGGUUGCAAAGGAGACAGUUCAGAGGGUAGGGGGAUGCGCUGGGGUUGUGGGAUGGAAAUCUUAUAAAAUUGGAUUGGGAUGAUCAUUAUACAACUAUAAAUGUAAUAAAUUCAUUG
rnacentral:lncRNA from 1 species